AGAGGGAGCUGUGGUUCUUCUGAGACAUGCCUAGUUCUGUCUGAAUUAGCUUCCCCAGCCAAGCUUUCCGAUCACUUGUCUGCUCCCCCCUCCGCCCCAUUCUUUCUCUCUCUUGUCUCUCGCACUCACUUACUCUUCCAUCUUUUGCCACUGUGCCAGAUAAAUUUAAAUGUAUCUGUUCAAGUGAAGAUAAUCCAUGCAAAUCAGAGCCACUGGCUCCCAAGUGCUCGAUUCACAAAGAGAGCGGUGCUUCAGGAGGUCACUCGUUCACAGCUGCUCCUCCCAUUAUAUUUUUCCCCCUUACAGCAGAAUUGCUGCUUGUAUACAGUGACUGAAAGGACUCAAUUUACUGCAACUGCUGCCUGGUUUUCCUUACAACUUUCUUUUAAAGAGGGACAUACCUUCCAGCUAUCUUGCCAAGAAAGACAGUCCCUUCCAGAAGAAGGUGUAGUCUCCUUUUUCUUCCUUCAGACCUCCCUCUCCUGCUCUCCUGGAGUAUUGGUAUAUCAAUGUUAAAACGUAUCAGCUCGCUUACAAUAAUAUCAGUCCUGCAUUUAGGGCAUUCAUGACAGCCUACAGGUUCACUGAAACAAGCAAGUCCCCUCACCACAACAAGGUGAGGAGAAAACUGACUAUGUAUCUCAUAAAUAUGUAUAUGUGUGUGCAUAAAAUAAACUUUUCUUAAAUUUUUACAUAUAAAAUACCUUUAGCUAUCUAUAUAUCUGUUUUGUUGUUUGUAUUUCAAUACGAGACCUAAUGUGAAAGAGGUGAUGGUGGUCUUUGACUGAAAAUAUUGCCACUACCUUAAUUUUAGACAGCUGAUAACACCAACAUUAUCAAUAAACACCAAUAAGAUAAUUGUUUUGCUUUUGGUCAAGACCAAUGAACCAAAAUUAAGAGAAAUGGCUAUGUAUAUAGAGUAGGCUUGUGCAUUUCUGCUGGACCUCAAUCCAUUUCUGCUACCUAAAUUCCGAGUGCCUCUCAAAAAUGGGAGGCCAGCCAAAUAGCUGUUUUUAGUCUACAAUCGAAAAAUACAGCUUGAUCUUGCCCAUUGGCAGCAAUAGGGGGAUUUCAAGGGCUCCUCCCCCCAUCAUUUACAAACCCUUGGAAGAGUAUUAUAUUAACAACACUAACCUGUUAUUAUUUUGAUUAUUAUUAAUUGAAAUUUAGAAGGCUGAGAGUACAGAGAGAAAUAGAAACAGAGAACUUGUUUUCAAGGGAAUGAAAAUGUAUUGGUGGUAAGGUUAGGGAAGUAGAUAGUAGUUUUCUGAGAAUGAGGUUUUGUUGUUUGCUGGAAUUAUUAUUAUUAUUAUUAUUAUUAUUAUUAUUAUUAUUAUUAUUAUCAAUAAUAUAUUUUUUAAAGUGAUUUCUCUAGGAGGGAAGGGAAAAGAAAAAAUAUAAGGAGAGGAGAGAAGAGAAGAAGCUAAAGGGUGAUUUAAGGCUUAAAACCACACUAAAGAAAAGUACAUCCACCCACCCAAGAGAUGCUUUCUUUUUUCUCCCAAGUCCCCAAAAGUGCACACCCACCCACUCACCUACACUUUCUAUCUCCCAGUCCCACUAAAUAUAAAAUAAUCAAAAGGAUUCAAUUAUAGAAGCCAUGCUAAGUCAAAAUUGAAAGCAGCAGAGCUGUGAGCGAGUGGCAAGGCAAGGCAGCAUCUCUCAGAGCCAAGAGACAACUGAGCGCAGUGGAGACACUCACCCCAUUAAAUAGACACAGCUUGUGCCAUGGUGUUCUUCUACUCUGAUUCACCCAAAAGGCAGAGCUAUCAGAGAAACCCUGUGCGAGCAUGUGGCAGCCUCUCCAUGCGCCAUGUGAUCCUGAGUAGAAGGAAAGAAGUUACACCCGUGGGCUGUCUUGGGUGAAAGAACAUGACAGCUGGGCCCUUGCCAUUACAGCUAGUUGGAGAAGAUGAAGAAGCCAAAGAAAAAUGGCUAAAACAGAUCCAUGCACAAGUCUAAUAUAAAGCAUUUGAGUAGAUGAUGUUUGUCUUGUUGUUCUUGUUCUCUGACAUCUAACUAUUAAAAAAUUAAAGUUUUACAGACACAAAUUAUUCAUCAGAGGAAACAAAAUGAAGCUUGACAUUAACAAAAUGUCAAGUGUCCUGCUUUAAGCCAUGACAGGGCUUGCAUUCAAGAUAAUAAGAUAAACUUACAUUUCACAAAGUAUAGAAUAUAAAAGCUUCCAGUUAACAAUGCCAUUUUGCUAACCAGAAGAAAGUUACACCUUUAAAAAUCUGACCUUUUUCGAGUAGGAGAGGCUUUCAUUUUCUUCUUCACCACUCAGCACUCAGAAGGAGUAGGCUGGCCAAUCUGAGAGCCUUAUUGGAGCGAUUAAUAACCUCCUGUCCUGCAACUAUCCUACUAACAAUGCCAAAAGCAUUUUAUCUACAUCUUAUUACAUCCAACUUCUGUAUCUAUGAAAGUAUUAGUAUUUUAUAAGAGUAUACAGAAUUAUUAAAACUAAAAAUGUAAGAGGCAAACUGACAAUGAAGAAACCUUUGGUGAUGGUCCCUAAUGCAUGAUGCUUCCCGUGUCCUGCUGUUGAUCUGCCUCCUCCCUGUGAUAAACUUAUUCCCCAUAUUGUCGGGAUAAACUGUCAAUAGCUGUAAAUCACAUCCUGUUCCAAUCAACUAGCUGGUGCAAUGUGGCUGUUCUGCUUCUGUGCU
rnacentral:lncRNA from 1 species